rnacentral:rRNA from 1 species
AUGAAGUGCAAAAAUUGUUCCGUGUUUCAAUUAUCAGUUGGCUACAUCAACGUCUGCAGUCUGUUUGGUCCUCGGAUGUGGUUCGCUUUUGGGAGUGAAGCUGUUCACUUGCGCACAUGUGGAAGUGCGGAAAAAAUAGCAAAACAACUUAAAAAUAAUGCGGUCCACUACGAUAUUUGUCGUGGUUCACUUGUCUCAUCUCUGCGGUCCACUCUCGUUCAUAAACAAAGUUGGAAAAAAGACAACAAAAACUUUUGCGAGAAAGUUUAUGUCCGACAAAAAGAAAUCAUGAAGUUCACUUGA